rnacentral:lncRNA from 1 species
UAGCAAGAAGGACCAGCUCAUCACCAAGUGCAAUGAAAUUGAAUCCCACAUUAUAAAGCAGGAAGACAUACUUAAUGGCAAAGAGAAUGAGAUUAAAGAGUUGCAGCAAGUUAUCAGCCAGCAGAGACAGAGUUUCAGGAAUCACAUGUCUGACUUCCGGAUCCAGAAGCAGCAGGAGACCUACAUGGCCCAGGUGCUGGACCAGAAGCAUAAGAAAACCUCAGGAACACGUCGGGCCCGUAGCCGUCAGUGUUCCAGGGAGAAAUAAACUGCUGGUUACUUUGCUGUUCCC